AGAGUUUGAUCCGUGGCUCAGAGUGAACGCUGGCGGCAGGCCUAAUACAUGCAAGUCGAACGGCAGCACAGCAGAGCUUGCUCUGUGGGUGGCGAGUGGCGGACGGGUGAGGAAUACGUGGGAAUCUGCCCAGUCGUGGGGAUAACGUAGGGAAACUUACGCUAAUACCGCAUGCGCCCUUCGGGGGAAAGCCGGGGACCUUCGGGCCUGGCGCGAUUGGAUGAGCCCACGUCGGAUUAGCUAGUUGGCGGGGUAAAGGCCCACCAAGGCGACGAUCCGUAGCUGGUCUGAGAGGAUGAUCAGCCACACUGGAACUGAGACACGGUCCAGACUCCUACGGGAGGCAGCAGUAGGGAAUAUUGGACAAUGGGCGCAAGCCUGAUCCAGCCAUGCCGCGUGAGUGAAGAAGGCCCUCGGGUUGUAAAGCUCUUUUGUCCGGAAAGAAAAGCGCCGGGUUAAUACCCUGGUGUCCUGACGGUACCGGAAGAAUAAGCACCGGCUAACUUCGUG
rnacentral:rRNA from 1 species